rnacentral:tRNA from 1 species
AGAUAGUUAGUCCAAGAAAGACAUUUGAUUUCGGCUCAAAAGUUUGUGGUUAGAGUCCACAAUUAUCUU